UACGGAGGAUGCAAGCGUUAUCCGGAUUUAUUGGGUUUAAAGGGUGCGUAGGCGGGAAAAUAAGUCAGUGGUGAAAUCUUGCAGCUUAACUGUAAAAUUGCCAUUGAUACUGUUUUUCUUGAGUACAGUUGAAGUAGGCGGAAUGUGUAAAGUAGCGGUGAAAUGCUUAGAUAUUACACAGAACACCGAUUGCGUAGGCAGCUUACUAAGUUGUAACUGACGCUGAGGCACGAAAGCGUGGGUAGCGAACAGG
rnacentral:rRNA from 1 species